UAGGGAAUCUUCCACAAUGGACGCAAGUCUGAUGGAGCAACGCCGCGUGAGUGAAGAAGGUUUUCGGAUCGUAAAGCUCUGUUGUUGGUGAAGAAGGAUAGAGGUAGUAACUGGCCUUUAUUUGACGGUAAUCAACCAGAAAGUCACGGCUAACUACGUGCCAGCAGCCGCGGUAAUACGUAGGUGGCAAGCGUUGUCCGGAUUUAUUGGGCGUAAAGCGAGCGCAGGCGGAAGAAUAAGUCUGAUGUGAAAGCCCUCGGCUUAACCGAGGAACUGCAUCGGAAACUGUUUUUCUUGAGACCAGAAGAGGUGAGUGGAACUCCAUGUGUAGCGGUGGAAUGCGUAGAUAUAUGGAAGAACACCAGUGGCGAAGGCGACUCUCUGGUCUGCAACUGACGCUGAGGCUCGAAAGCAUGGGUAGCGAACAGG
rnacentral:rRNA from 1 species